GAGAGCAUCGUUCUUUUGUUCCUUCUCCUCUUCCCUGUUGCACUGCCUUUCUGUUCUUUGGGGUUGAUUUUCUUUGCUCACCAUCAACUAUGUCUCUUCCUCGCCGUCACGUCCCGCCGCUGGGAGUGUUGCUAUCACCAAAUCCUCUCCUUGCCACCGCCCCUGUUUCGUCCUAAUCUUCUCUGUUGUAUCGUUAGUGUCCAAUGGUUUUUGAUGUUCUUCCCUCUUGUUCGUGCGGCACAUUGAAGCUUUUUCUUUCCUUCUUGGUGUUGACCAUGUGCUGAUUAUAACUGUCACUGCUGCACUUUGGGUGAAGGGGGAUUGAAUUCAGAAUGCUGGAUGCUAACAGCAAUUCUGUUAGCCCUUGGCGUACCAUGGUACACCUAGCUAGUAGGGUGCAUUGGAGUUGUUAGCCCCGUGUGCUGGCCAACACAUAUGGAGUGGAGAAUGUAGUUUCGUGGAUGUAAUCCACACUUGUUGUUCAUGAGCUUUAUGCUUGCACCUAUUAUUUGUGGCUUCUUGCCACGCCGAAUAUGUUACUUACCCUCGUGAACUGUAUGUC